rnacentral:rRNA from 1 species
UACGAAGGGGGCUAGCGUUGUUCGGAAUUACUGGGCGUAAAGCGUAUGCAGGCGGAUCGUUAGGUCGGGGGUGAAAUCCCGAGGCUCAACCUCGGAACUGCCUUCGAUACUGGCGACCUUCGAGUCCGGGAGAGGUGAGUGGAACUCCGAGUGUAGAGGUGAAAUUCGUAGAUAUUCGGAAGAACACCAGUGGCGAAGGCGGCUCACUGGCCCGGUACUGACGCUGAGAUACGAAAGCGUGGGGAGCAAACAGG